AAGCAAUUAGCUCAAUGGUUAGAGUAUUUUGUUUACACCAAGAUGGUUAGGGGUUCGAAUCCCUUAUUGCUUA
rnacentral:tRNA from 1 species